rnacentral:rRNA from 1 species
UACCAGCACCCCGAGUGGUCGGGACGUUUUAUUGGGCCUAAAGCAUCCGUAGCCGGUUCUACAAGUCUUCCGUUAAAUCCACCUGCUUAACAGAUGGGCUGCGGAAGAUACUAUAGAGCUAGGAGGCGGGAGAGGCAAGCGGUACUCGAUGGGUAGGGGUAAAAUCCGUUGAUCCAUUGAAGACCACCAGUGGCGAAGGCGGCUUGCCAGAACGCGCUCGACGGUGAGGGA